rnacentral:rRNA from 1 species
GUGGGAACCUGCCCAGUGGUGGGGGAUAACUGCGGGAAACUGCAGCUAAUACCGCAUGAGCCCCGAGUGUCACAGCUUGGGGGAAAGAUUUAUCGCCAUUGGAGGGGCCCGCGUUCGAUUAGGUAGUUGGUGAGGUAACGGCUCACCAAGCCGACGAUCGAUAGCUGGUCUGAGAGGAUGAUCAGCCACACUGGGACUGAGAUACGGCCCAGACUCCUACGGGAGGCAGCAGUGGGGAAUAUUGGACAAUGGGGGCAACCCUGAUCCAGCAAUGCCGCGUGAGUGAUGAAGGCCUUCGGGUUGUAAAGCUCUUUUGCCAGGGACGAUGAUGACGGUACCUGGAGAAUAAGCCCCGGCUAACUUCGUGCCAGCAGCCGCGGUAAUACGAAGGGGGCAAGCGUUGUUCGGAAUUACUGGGCGUAAAGGGCGCGUAGGCGGCUUAUCAAGUCAGGCGUGAAAUUCCCGGGCUCAACCUGGGGGCUGCGCUUGAUACUGAUGGGCUUGAAUGCGGGAGUGAUAGUGGAAUUCCCAGUGUAGGGGUGAAGUUAUAGAUAUUGGGAAGAACCUGGUGGCGAAGGCGGCUAUCUGGCCCGUGAUUGACGCUGAGGAGCGAAAGCGUGGGGAGCAAACAGGAUUAGAUACCCUGGUAGUCCCGCCUUUAAUAUGAAUGCUAUACGUUGGCGAGCAUGCUCUUCAGUGUCGGACCUAACGCCUUAAGCAUUACGUCUGGCGAGU